AUCUUGAAAUGCUGUCGCUUAAAGAUGACUACUACUACUACUAGCAACGAAUUUACAUCUUUUGGUCAGAAGAGAGACUAACAUCUCUUAGGAUGACACAGUGUCACUCCUGGUUUUCUUCCUGGAAAUAUGAUGCACAUCGGCAGGACCUUAACAGAAAAGCUGGUGUACAAACUUGGACAAUUCACAGAAGAAAGAUUCCAGAUAAGAAUGGAAUGAAAUCAGUUUCAUUUGCUACAAAAACCUGGAAGGACAAAACAGAUGACCUUUAAAAAGCAAAAAGCAGUUCUCCAAGCAUCUGUUAUGAGGCUGAAGGCUCUUGGGCUCUAGAUCUACAGUGAAGUCAAUUUUCUUGUUAUCAAACCACUGAUACAUUUAGAGUGCUGGCUACUUUUAUCAUCCGACAUUUUAACAUCAGUUUGAGAGGUAUUGUGGCCUGAUAAAUCUGUAUGUUAUUUCUGAUAAAGUGAGUUCAACUCCAUAUUUCAGUUUCUUAUUUUAACCUCUGCUAAGUCUGUUUGAAUGGGGG